GUGCCAGCAGCCGCGGUAAUACGUAGGGUGCGAGCGUUGUCCGGAAUUAUUGGGCGUAAAGAGCUCGUAGGCGGUUUGUUGCGUCGGCCGUGAAAACCUCAUGCUUAACGUGGGGCUUGCGGUCGAUACGGGCAGACUUGAGUUCGGCAGGGGAGACUGGAAUUCCUGGUGUAGCGGUGAAAUGCGCAGAUAUCAGGAGGAACACCGGUGGCGAAGGCGGGUCUCUGGGCCGAUACUGACGCUGAGGAGCGAAAGCGUGGGGAGCGAACAGGAUUAGAAACCCCGGUAGUCC
rnacentral:rRNA from 1 species